GGGGACCUGUCCCUGAGCUGGGCUCUGGGCGUACCGCGGAUGGGGAGGCGAAAACGCUGUCUUAUGGACACGCGCGGCCAUCACACUCUUGAACUCACAGCCCCUGUGGUUUUCAGCGCUCAGUUGAGCCUGUCACUACUUCACCAUAGAUUGAGAAGCAUAGGUGAGACCCCGUCCUCCCCGCAGACCCUGGGAGAGCUUGUCAGGUUCAUCAUGUAUCCACUAGGCCAGGCAUGAUGAUGCACACCUUUAAGCCCAGCGCUUGGGAGGCAGGA